rnacentral:snoRNA from 1 species
UACACAGUCCCAGCUCCGCAUGGCACUAUUCAAUGUGCUCAUGCGGCGUUCUACGACUGUAAGAUGAACAUUUUUGGCCAGUAUUAUAUUAUUGUUGUUGAUGUU